UGUGGCUCAGUUGUAGAGUACUUGUCUGAGCAUGCAAGAGGCCCUGGGUUCAAUCCCCAGUA
rnacentral:tRNA from 1 species